rnacentral:rRNA from 1 species
CCUACGGGGUGCAGCAGUGGGGAAUAUUGGACAAUGGGCGAAAGCCUGAUCCAGCCAUGCCGCGUGUGUGAAGAAGGCCUUCGGGUUGUAAAGCACUUUCAGUGGGGAAGAAAGCCUUGGGGCUAAUACCCUCGAGGAAGGACAUCACCCACAGAAGAAGCACCGGCUAACUCCGUGCCAGCAGCCGCGGUAAUACGGAGGGUGCGAGCGUUAAUCGGAAUUACUGGGCGUAAAGCGCGCGUAGGCGGUCUGAUAAGCCGGUUGUGAAAGCCCCGGGCUCAAUCUGGGAACGGCAUCCGGAACUGUCAGGCUAGAGUGCAGGAGAGGAAGGUAGAAUUCCCGGUGUAGCGGUGAAAUGCGUAGAGAUCGGGAGGAAUACCAGUGGCGAAGGCGGCCUUCUGGACUGACACUGACGCUGAGGUGCGAAAGCGUGGGUAGCAAACAGGAUUAGAUACCCCAGUAGUC